CCUACGGGGGGCAGCAGUGAGGAAUAUUGGUCAAUGGGCGAGAGCCUGAACCAGCAAAGUCGCGUGAGGGAGUACUGCCCUAUGGGUUGUAAACCUCUUUUGUCGGGGAGCAAAAGCCGGACGUGUCCGGCUGUGAGAGUACCCGACGAAAACGCAUCGGCUAACUCCGUGCAAGCAGCCGCGGUACUACGGAGGAUGCGAGCGUUAUACGGAUUUUUUGGGUUUAAAGGGUGCGCAGGCGGAUUUUUAAGUCGUCGGUCAAAUCGUGGGGCUCAACCCCAUCCAGCAGUUGAAACUGGGGAUGUAGAGUGUUCGAGAGGUAUGAGGAAUGCGUGGUGUAGCGGGGAAAUGCAUAGAUAUCACGCAGAACCCCGAUUGCGAAGGCAGCAUACCGGUGCACAACUGACGCUCAGGCACGAAAGCGUGGGUAUCGAACAGGAUUAGAGACCCGAGUAGUC
rnacentral:rRNA from 1 species